AAAUGAAUAGACGGGGGCCCGCACAAGCGGUGGAGCAUGCGGGUUAAUAGGAUGAUACGCCAAGAACCUUACCAGGGCUUGACAUCAAUCGGACCGCCUAUGAAAGUAGGUUUCCUGGGCAACCAGGUCGAUUGACAGAUGGUGCAUGGUUGUCGUCAGCUCGUGCCGUGAGGUGUUGGGUUAAGUCCCGCAACGAGCGCAACCCUCGCCAGAUGUUGCCAUCGGGUAAUGCCGGGAACUCUUCUGGGACCGCCUGAGUAAUCAGGAGGAAGGAGAGGACGACGUCAAAUCUGCAUGCCUCUUACGCCCUGGGCUGCACGCGUGCUACAAUGGCGGGUACAAAGGGUAGCCAAGCCGCGAGGUGGAGCCAAUCCCCCAAAACCCGUCUCAGUUGGGAUCGGAUGUCUGCAACUCGACUCCGUGAACGCGGAAUCGCUAGUAACCGUGGAUCAGCAACGCCACGGUGAAUACGUUCCCGGGCCUUGUACACACCGCCCGU
rnacentral:rRNA from 1 species